AUGGAUAAUCUCAUUAAACGAGGCCUGCUCACAUUGUCAGUCUUUGUGCUGUGGACUGCAGGUCUAACUGAUGGGAGUGAUGUCACCCAGACCUCCAUACUUUGGAAACAACAGGAGGACAAUGCAACAAUGAACUGCAACCACACCAAGGGUGCUCAGUACUACCAGAUGUACUGGUACAGACAGCUGCCAGGAGAAACAAUGAAAUUAAUCGUGUUCACAACAAUUGGCGCCAUCAACAACAAUCAUGAUUUUGGAGAUUUCAGUAAAGAGAAAUUCUCAGCCACCAAGCCUAACACUGAGAGUGGGACAUUCACAGUGAAGAAUCUGGAGGCAGAAGAUAAAGGCUUGUAUUUCUGUGCUGUGAGUCAACACAGUGAUACAGACACAUUCAACAGCUGAACAAAAACCCCAGAGCACCACUGGCUCUAUUAGUGAGUCUAUUUAUC